rnacentral:tRNA from 1 species
GCGGCUGUAGCCCAACUGGGAGAGGCACCUGGUCGAGAACCAGGCCAGUCGGGGUUCGAAUCCCCGCGACCGCA